UAUCUCUGUAGAGUCUGCAUAUCAAUAAGCGGAGGAAAAGAAACUAACUAGGAUUCCCUUAGUAACGGCGAGUGAAGCGGGAAGAGCUCAAAUUUGAAAUCUUCAAGGUUUUACCUUGACGAAUUGUAGUUUAAAGAAGUGUUUUCUGUUGGAUGUUUUGGUAAAAGUUCUUUGGAAUAGGACAUCAUAGAGGGUGAGAAUCCCGUAUUUGACCAUUACUUUCCAGCUUUGUGAUACACUUUCAAAGAGUCGGAUUGUUUGGGAAUGCAGUCCAAAAUGGGUGGUAAAUUUCAUCUAAAGCUAAAUAUUGGCGAGAGACCGAUAGCGAACAAGUACCGUGAGGGAAAGAUGAAAAGAACUUUGAAAAGAGAGUUAAACAGUACGUGAAAUUGUCAAAAGGGAAGCGUUUGACACCAGUGUUGUUUUCUCGAAAAUCAAUUAAAAAAAGUUGGAUUUUGUAUUGUUAAAACCUUAUCAGCUUACUGUACUCUUUUCUUGCUUUUUUUAAUGCACUUUUCGUUUAACAAGUCAACAUCAAUUUCUUUUGUUGUAAAAGAGUCAUUGGAAGGUGGCUUUCACUUCGGUGAAAGUGUUUAUAGCCUUUGGCUUCUGCAAUCGGAGAGAUUGAGGUCUGCAGCGUAGAUCCUUCGGGGCUAGAUACGUAGAUGCUAAGUUAUAGUUUUUUAUAGACAACUUGUUGACUAUAAUUAAUCAUGUAGCUUACUCGUUUGCGCUAUUUUACCUACGCUUAGGAUGUUGAUCUGUAGUGCGUGCGC
rnacentral:rRNA from 1 species